AUUGAACGCUGGCGGCAUGUUUAACACAUGCAAGUCGAACGGUAACAGGCCGCAAGGUGCUGACGUGUGGAGGACGGUUGAGUAAUGCAGCGGAACGUGCCUAGCCGUUGGGGCCAACUACUCGACAGAGGAGCCAACCCCGCAUACGACCGAUGGUUGAAAGCGGGGGACCGUCAGGCCCCCCGCGAUUGGAGCGGCCCAUGUCGGAUUAGGUAGGUGGUGGGGUAAAGGCUCACCACACCAACGAUCUCUAGCUGGUCUGAGACGACCACCAGCCACACUGGGACUGACGCACGUCCCGGGCUCCUACGGGAGGCAGCAGUGGGGAAUUUUGUACCAUGCGCGCAAGCCUGAUCCGGCAACGCCGCGUGCCGGACGAAGGCCUUCCGGUUGUAAGAGGCUGUUGUUCGGGCCGUCAGGCCUCUAGUUUAUCCCCGCUGCUAUUGACGGUCCCGAAAGAGUAAGCACCGGCCAUCUACCUG
rnacentral:rRNA from 1 species